CAGUCGAGCGGUAGAGAGAAGCUUGCUUCUCUUGAGAGCGGCGGACGGGUGAGUAAUGCCUAGGAAUCUGCCUGGUAGUGGGGGAUAACGUUCGGAAACGGACGCUAAUACCGCAUACGUCCUACGGGAGAAAGCAGGGGACCUUCGGGCCUUGCGCUAUCAGAUGAGCCUAGGUCGGAUUAGCUAGUUGGUGGGGUAAUGGCUCACCAAGGCGACGAUCCGUAACUGGUCUGAGAGGAUGAUCAGUCACACUGGAACUGAGACACGGUCCAGACUCCUACGGGAGGCAGCAGUGGGGAAUAUUGGACAAUGGGCGAAAGCCUGAUCCAGCCAUGCCGCGUGUGUGAAGAAGGUCUUCGGAUUGUAAAGCACUUU
rnacentral:rRNA from 1 species